ensembl:lncRNA
UAAUAAACAAACAAAACUCUGUCAAGGACCCCUGAGGGGUGUCACGGUUGUUUAAGUCAGUGACCUUCAGGAGAGUGGAGAUUUUGCAGCAAAGCGAUUGAAUCCUGGUCGCGGCCUGCUGACCUGCGCCCGUGGGAACUGCAAAGGGUUGUGCAAAUUGGCUCAGCAUCAUCCAGUUUGGAUAGCGAUGUUGGAAAGGGUUGCUUUGUCUCAUCACACGCUAGUGACUCCUUGUGGUAGGCUGGGUGCCUGGCAGCUAACUUGUGGUUGUUGGCUGGGGAAUGUGUUCUCCUCAGCAUACAUGGGCUUACAAAUACUUCCUUUUUUUGUUGGACUGAAAAUAAAUCCUGUAAGGUGAGAGUGAUCCUAAUGGGUUCUGAUGAUUUUAAAAUAAUGGUUCUGUUCCAAAACACACUUCCUGUUCUGUUUCUUUUUCAGUUCCAACCCUCUGCUUUUCCAUUCUAGUGUUUUAGUUCAGGAGAAUGAUAGACUUUUCCCAAGGAUUAUCAGGUCUGUUGUAAGUGGCAUCAGGUCCAUCUAGUGUUGCCCACAUUACUUUUACAUUCACCCCAUUUGACCAAAGAGGACAUGGAUUGGUAUGAUGGAACAAAAUGAUUCACAUUUGUCUGGGGAAUGAGGACAACUGUACAAGCUAGAUUGUGCCAUGCGAGGAUCGGGAGAGAGAGAUGUCUGUACUGACAUAUUUAGCUUUGGAAUAUUUACCAGAGCAGGUAAGCUACCCUGUGGGGUGUAGUAGGUGUCUAGUGUUUCUAACUGAGUGACAUCAUUAGGCGAGAGAUGUGACCUCGAACAUAAACACGACAGUGCCUGUGCUGUUUCUGUUCAGUCAAAACACAUCAAAACACAGAAACAAAUCUGGGACUGGCCCUCACUUUGACACUCAGCCUUUAGUUUGGGUGUGUUGGCCAUGCGGCAGUUGGUUUGGGUGUGUUGGCCAUGCGGCAGUUGGUUUGGGUGUGUUGGCCAUGCGGCUGUUGGUUUGGGUGUGUUGGCCAUGCGGCAGUUGGUUUGGGUGUGUUGGCCAUGCGGCAGUUGGUUUGGGUGUGUUGGCCAUGCGGCUGUUGGUUUGGGUGUGUUGGCCUGGGGCAGUUGGUUUGGGUGUGUUGGCCAUGCAUGCUGCAGUAGGUUUGAGUGUGUUGGCCAUGCAUGCUGCAGUUGGUUUGAGUGUGUUGGCCAUGCAUGCUGCAGUAGGUUUGAGUGUGUUGGCCAUGCAUGCUGCAGUUGGUUUGAGUGUGUUGGCCAUGCAUGCGGAAGUUGGUUUGGGUGUGUUGGCCAUGCAUGCUGCAGUAGGUUUGAGUGUGUUGGCCAUGCAUGCGGAAGUUGGUUUGGGUGUGUUGGCCAUGCAUGCUGCAGUAGGUUUGAGUGUGUUGGCCAUGCAUGCGGAAGUUGGUUUGGGUGUUUUGGCCAUGCGGCAGUUGGUUUGGGUGUGUUACGGAAAUAAUCAGCUAGUGAGGGUACUAUUUACAAUUUAGCAACCUAGGCUAAAUGGCUCCCUAUUUACUACACCUCUUUCGAUGACAGCCCUAUGAGCUAUAAGUGCACUAUGCAGAAAAUACAGGACCACUUUGGAUACGCUGGUGGAUUCAAUCGCUGAAAUGACAGUUCCGGCUCUGGAUUCACUAGCUGAAAUGACAUUGGCAGCUCUGGAUUCAAUCGCUGAAGUAACAGUGGUGGCUCUGGAUUCAGUCACUGAAAUAAGAGUUUCUAAAUCCUUCUGUUGAACUGGUGUAAUAUUAAUCUCUUUAUGAAAACAAUGUCCA